GUGUUCUAUGAAAAGAGGGAAGAUUAGUACUCCCCUGAUAAAGAUGGAAAGUUCUUGGGGCCAUAGGGCACACAUAUGAUUAAGGCAUUGCCACUUACUUUGUGGCAUAUAAUCAUGAUGUUUC
rnacentral:ncRNA from 1 species